AUGUAUCGAACUCAUUCUAUUUUUGUCAGAAAACGUCCUUUCUUUUUGGGUUGCUUCCGUAACUCAAGGGCGCAUAUUUUCAUAGGAGUUCCGCGUUCAGGAAGUUUUACAGAUCACAGUAAGGAGGCUCUUUCCCAAACGGUUUUUCUCCCUCGCUGCCGGACUUCUCUUCUCAGCCAACUCUGGCCGCCUCCUCCCUCGCCGUCGGAAUUCCGUUUCCUCACCGCCAGACUGUUCUUCCGCUCUCAGCUCCGCACCCCUCUGUUCUGCAAUCCCUCAGCCUCGCGCCCCUCUGUUCUGCAAUCUCUCAGCCCUACACCCCUCUAUUCUGCAAUUAAUUCUGCAGCGCCCUCCGUUCUUCCGCUCUCAGCUCUACUUUCGUGCGUCUGCAACCUCCCUUUGUCGCUUCCUACUUCCUCCCAGUCGGUACACUCAGCACCAGUCAACCUCGAUUCUUCCUCUUCAUAUACUGCAAGCAUCUUCAAGAGUCGAAUGCUAAAGAAGCUAGGUAUUGGAUAA